AUUGAACGCUGGCGGCAUGCCUUACACAUGCAAGUCGAACGGUAACAGGUCUUCGGAUGCUGACGAGUGGCGAACGGGUGAGUAAUACAUCGGAACGUGCCUAGUAGUGGGGGAUAACUACUCGAAAGAGUGGCUAAUACCGCAUGAGAUCUACGGAUGAAAGCAGGGGAUCGCAAGACCUUGUGCUACUAGAGCGGCCGAUGGCAGAUUAGGUAGUUGGUGGGAUAAAAGCUUACCAAGCCGACGAUCUGUAGCUGGUCUGAGAGGACGAUCGGCCGCUCUGGUACUGAGACACGGACCAGACUCCUACGGGAGGCAGCAGUGGGGAAUUUUGGACAAUGGGCGAAAGCCUGAUCCAGCAAUGCCGCAUGCAGGAUGAAGGCCUUCGGGUUGUAAACUGCUUUUGUACGGAACGAAAAGCCCCGGGUUAAUACCCUGGGGUCAUGACGGUACCGUAAGAAUAAGCACCGGCUAACUACGUGCCAGCCGCCGCGGUAA
rnacentral:rRNA from 1 species